UGGGACCUUAGUGAGAAAAAUAUUCAUAUGAACGGUAUGAGCAACACAUUUCCAGACAAAAGCAGGGAGGAGGGACAAUAUGUAUAGACAGAGUCUGGGGGGGGCUGUGACUUCAUCACACUUCACCCGAUAAGAGGGUUCACUUUGGGAGCUGGUAACUGGAUGAAGACUUGAAAGACCGGGCUGCAGGAAGCGGUGCUGGUGAGUCAGGAUAUGGCAGCCUUCCCUCCGAGUCAUCCUUGAACCGCUGCCCCGAUGUGCUCAUAGUGGGAAUUGGAUUAGGAGAGAUGCUCUUCCUUCAGAUGAGAUUUCAAACUUGGGUCGUGACCACUUGAUGUCAUUAAGAGUUACGUGCCAUUUCUUCUUGAGAACAUGGAUCUAAAAGCUGCAUGUGGUCUGGUUUCCAGUUUGGAUGGCUGUAUUUUGCAAUCACACCUUUCUGCAGCUCUGAGUGGCAACACCCCUUCCGGCCCUGCUCUCUGUCCCAGUGCUGCAGGCCAUGACACACGUCCACCCUGCUUCCAUGUGGGAGCCACUGCACAGCAGUCAGUCCUGACAGUUCCUCCACGGCUGCUGAAUAACUCUUAACUUCCUGUCAGAAUUAUUGCCUUAUUCCUACCAUUCUCUGUAACACUGAUCAGUUUAGCAGAGAAAAAAAGAGAAAUCUGUGUCGGGUGGAUGGCCUUACUUGCUGCUGGUAGGGACACUUAUGUGGCACUGAGGGACACGGUUAGUGGGCAUGGCGGCGAUGGGCUGAUGGUUGGACCAGAUGGCCUCGGUGGUCUUUUCCAACCUUAAUGAUUCUGUGACUCUGUGAUCAUGCGGGCUGUGUGUGGAGCGAGGGAUCAAGCCUGUGUUUAGGCUGCCGUUCAGCCAGCAGCUAGCAACGGCACCUUACGGAACACCACAUUCUCAUCCCUGUCACUUUUAAUUUAAAUGGCACUUCUGGUGAAUUAUGAUCCUGAGGGAGACAGGCAGGAGCUGGGGCAGAGCCGGCCGCGACGGGGACCACCGACUUACAACCGGCCAAACAGGCGGCGGGAGCGUUGCCAGCCCACCCUCUCCCCGGCCGGGCGGCGGGUGCGGGCCGGGCGCUCUCCCUCCGCCUCGCUGCCUGCCCGGCUGCCUCCCGCGGAGCCGCCCCAGCCUUCCGGCCUCUCCCCGCAGCGCCGGCCGCCUCCCGGCGCCUCUGCCCCGUCCCCCGCCGCGGCGCCAGGCGGUCCCCGCCCGCGGGCGGCGGUGCCGGCAGCGGCCGCUAGAUGCCGCCCUGCCCAACGCCUUGGAGGUCUGGCGGCGGCCGGGCGGCGGGUGGCGGCGGCUCGGCGGGCCCGUGGCGGCCCCCCUCGGCCGCCGGAGCGUCGGUGGCGUCUGCGAGACCCGGCGACGCGAGUGGCGGCUGAAGGGGCUGGCAUUCCUCGCGUAUUCUCUUUACCAGAACAGAAACAUGGUUUUUGCGAGCAAAAUCAUCUGAAGAACACAGCCCCAUGCUGUAGCUGCUUGGCUGCAUACACUCAUUGGGGAAGAAGUCAAGAGCAGUCAGCCCACGCUUCCAGACUGGCUCUCAAGGAGCCCAGAGUCACUGAGAUUUGGGAUUAUUUGCAUUUGAAAGCUACUUCUCAGGAUACAGUUCAGUGGAUAAUGGAAUAUUAGCAAAUGUCACAUGUGUUGUUUUUGGUUU
rnacentral:lncRNA from 1 species